UACGGGGGGAGCAAGCGUUGUUCGGAUUUACUGGGCGUAAAGGGCGUGUAGGCGGUCAAGUAAGUGGAAUGUGAAACGCCUCGGCUUACCCGAGGACCUGCAUCCCAAACUGCUUGGCUUGAGUAUGGGAGAGGAUGAGGGAAUUCCUGGUGUAGCGGUGAAAUGCGUAGAUAUCAGGAGGAACACCGGUGGCGAAAGCGCUCAUCUGGCCCAAUACUGACGCUGAGGCGCGAAAGCUAGGGGAGCAAACGGG
rnacentral:rRNA from 1 species